CUGAGGGAAGAACCAUCAUGACGAAGUCAUGAUCUUAUAAUGUUCCGACCGAUAGGCCACCGAACGAAUGUGAGGGGGCAAUACCUAUU
rnacentral:ncRNA from 12 species